AUUGAACGCUGGCGGCAUGCCUAACACAUGCAAGUCGAACGGGGGUAGGGGCAACUCUACUUCAGUGGCGGACGGGUGAGGAAUGCGUCGGAAUCUACCCUAUGGUGGGGGAUAACACAGGGAAACUUGUGCUAAUACCGCAUGAUGUCGAGAGACCAAAGCAGGGGACCGCAAGGCCUUGCGCGAUAGGAUGAGCCGACGCCCGAUUAGCUAGUUGGUAGGGUAAAGGCCUACCAAGGCGACGAUCGGUAGCUGGUCUGAGAGGAUGAUCAGCCACACUGGGACUGAGACACGGCCCAGACUCCUACGGGAGGCAGCAGUGGGGAAUAUUGGACAAUGGGCGCAAGCCUGAUCCAGCAAUGCCGCGUGUGUGAAGAAGGCCUGCGGGUCGUAAAGCACUUUUGUUCGGGAAGAAAACGGAUCGGUUAAUACCCGGUUCGGAUGACGGUACCGAAAGAAUAAGCACCGGCUAACUUCGUGCCAGCAGCCGCGGUUAAAGUCGA
rnacentral:rRNA from 1 species